GGAUGAUCUAUUUGGGUCGUCUUAUUUUGUUUCAACCCAGUUUUUCAUAUAUUUAAAGUCUGAAAUUGACCAAAAUAGUAUCAAACACUCUUAAAUGGAUUUGAAUGAAUUUGACACUUUCAAAAAGCUUCAAAAAUAUCUCCAACUUGAAAAAUCUUCAACUUUAGCACUCUUGAAGGAGCUUUUCAAACUCAAUAUUUUU
rnacentral:lncRNA from 1 species